AGACUGGAAGUGACUGAAAGACAACACAGAUGCAUUCUUUCAGCAAGGUGACCAAAAUCUGUUUCACUCUGCAGCACUUGUCCUGGAGGUUUUGUAGACAGAACUGGAAGUGACUGAAAGAAAACGGAGACUCAUUCUUUCAGCAAGGUGACCAAAAUCUGUUUCGCUCUGCAGCACUUGUCCCGGAGGCUUUGUAGACAGAGUGACUGAACGAAAACCUAAAUGAGAAAUAGGAACAACAUGUUUAGAAGAUGAAGUGUGGAAGCCUCGGCAGCUUCAGUAUGCUGUGUACCUCAUCUUGAACUCUUUCACAUGGUGAUUCCUACACAUAAUUGCACACUGUAUGUGUUUAGCUAUCCUAUCUUACAAAGACUUAUGCCAACACUGUAUCUGCCUUUCCUCAAUACAAUGUAAAAAGUGCUGCAUAGACCAUUUAGAGAAGCAAUGUCUCGUGACUUUUACUGUAUGUUUAUUUUUGAGCAAGUGUCAUUUGUUUUGUAAAAUAUCUUUGCAGAUUUUCUUUUCAUGCCUGGACACUUUUUUUUUAUUUCAAAUAUUGCUUUGAAUUGAUGCAAAUUGAAGAACGUGAAUCCCUGGUAAUAAAGGAAGGUUGACCAGAAAAU